rnacentral:rRNA from 1 species
GAGUUUGAUCAUGGCUCAGGACGAACGCUGGCGGCACGCCUAACACAUGCAAGUCGAACGGAGAUAUUUUGGUUUACUGAGAUAUCUUAGUGGCGGACGGGUGAGUAACACGUGAGCAACCUGCCUCUGAGAGAGGGAUAGCUUCUGGAAACGGAUGGUAAUACCUCAUAACAUAACGAAGCCGCAUGACUUUGUUAUCAAAGAUUUAUCACUCAGAGAUGGGCUCGCGUCUGAUUAGAUAGUUGGUGAGGUAACGGCCCACCAAGUCGACGAUCAGUAGCCGGACUGAGAGGUUGAACGGCCACAUUGGGACUGAGACACGGCCCAGACUCCUACGGGAGGCAGCAGUGGGGAAUAUUGCACAAUGGGGGAAACCCUGAUGCAGCGAUGCCGCGUGGAGGAAGAAGGUUUUCGGAUUGUAAACUCCUGUCUUAAAGGACGAUAAUGACGGUACUUUAGGAGGAAGCUCCGGCUAACUACGUGCCAGCAGCCGCGGUAAUACGUAGGGAGCGAGCGUUGUCCGGAAUUACUGGGUGUAAAGGGAGCGUAGGCGGGAUGGCAAGUCAGAUGUGAAAACUAUGGGCUCAACCCAUAGACUGCAUUUGAAACUGUUGUUCUUGAGUGAARUAGAGGUAAGCGGAAUUCCUGGUGUAGCGGUGAAAUGCGUAGAWAUCAGAGGAACAUCGGUGGCGAAGGCGGCUUAYUGGGCUUUUACUGACGCUGAGGCUCGAAAGCGUGGGAAGCAAWCAGGAUUAGAUACYCUGGUARUCACGCUGUAAACGAUGAUUACWAKGUGUGGGGGGGACUGACCCUUUCUGU